CUAACUCAUCAAAGUAGCAGCAGCAAAAGGGAGAGGCAAGAGAAGCUCUUCUUCUUCUUCAGAUUUCCAAUCUCAUACAGCAAGCUCUCUCCAAAAGCUCUUCUUCUUCUUCAGAUUUUCAAUCUUGUGUCAUUUUGCAGGGAUAUAGGAGCUUGGACACUAUGAGCUGGCUAUGCGAUUCACGCAGCAGCUUUUCAAUUGCGUCACUCUACAAGUGUUUUGAGUCUUCCCUUGGACCAAAAGUGAAGCGGAUAAAUAUUGUCCGGAGAAACGCAGCCCCUCUGAGAGUGAGAUUUUUUGGGUAGUUGGCGUGGUGCGGCAAAAUCAAAUCUGGAAGGUAAUACCAUUCGCUGUUUUGUGGUCAAUCUGGGGGUUGAGAAAUCAUUGUUUGUUCAAUGAGGCGCAACCAAAUUGGGAGGAACUCAUUGAGCUAAUCAAGUUUAGGGUGAUAUUAUGGACAAAGUUGAAGUUAAGUUCUAGGAUGGCAUCAAUGACUGAUUUGCUUUCUAUUCAGAAUCAGAUUUCAGGGUACCUAUGAAGUUUGGGUUGUUUUCAUUUAUGGAUCUGGGAUAGCUGGCGGGUGAUGCUGCUGAUGCUGUCAAGUGCUGCUGUUGUUAAUGCCUCUGGGAUUGUGUUGUUGUUGCAGAUUAGAUUUGCAUCAGGUGGGAGUUUGAGCAGACAAGGGAGUUUGAGCAGCCUCUUCGAGUUUGAGAACUGUUGGUGGUGCAUUGCAGAGUGUGUGUUGGUUGAUUGAUUUUGCCUCUUCUGAUUUAAUUUGGCUUUGGUUGCACUGAUGCAAAGGGUGGCUGCUGGAUUUGCUCAUGAUUGGAUGGUCUUAUGUUCUUGGGUCUGAGUUGGUUUUGGUGCUUUGUUGUCUGUUUUGUUGUUGUUCGCUUUGGUGUUUGUUUUGUUCUGUUCUAGUUUGUUUUGUUUUCGGUUGGUUUCUUACCCCUUUUGGUGGUGUGUUAGUAAGUGAUUAGGCGUGCAUCUUAGUGUUAAUGUAGUUGGGAUCCUUUUAUCCCGCUAUGAUACUUUUUGCACUUAUUUUUUCUUUCUUUA